AAACGGGAGAGGUGGGAAUCGCUUCGAAAAGGGGGGCUCAACGCCGGCGUAUUAUCCAAGCCCCUGUGCGCUCGCGAAACGCUGUCGGCAGACGGCCCCGCACCGCAAGGUCGGGUGUCCGUUGUUAGGCGGCAGCGGCGGUGCACGGGUGCGGUUGCGCGGAGCGUCGGCGCGCAUUUCCCCCCGAGUAGACGCUGCGACCCGUUGGGCUUGUGACCGAUCUAGGGACCUGGAAUUGCGACCGAUGCGGUCUUGGUGCGGGGCAGGGGCGACCCUGUCCGGCCAGUUCCGCAAUGGACCCGGGUAUCCCGAUCGGGGCUCGACGGAAGAAAUCGAAUGAGGGCGAUUCCCGCUUCCGGUAGACGCUUGUCGUUUUUCCGGAUAGCGUCCGGGUCGAGUUCUCGGCAAGCUUACCCGAUGCGCAGUCGCGGUUCUCUCGCCUCCGUGCGGGGGUUCCGUUCCGGUAGGCGUGGCUUACGUCACGCUCCGGGCCGUCGGGGGCUGUUGGCUCUCGGAGUACCUCGGAUAGCGGAGGAGCCCUCGUCCGCGGCGCUUUACCUUCCGAUGCUCUCCCGAC
rnacentral:rRNA from 1 species